UCGUUCGGAAGCUCAACAAAGAUC
rnacentral:miRNA from 10 species